UCUCUCUCCCUUAUAAUAAACUGCUAUCAGAAUACUUCUGCGAGCAUAAUCAUAGGGUGAAUGGUUGUUAUUUAACCUGCGGUUGCAGACUUAGGGUGAAUGGUUGGUUGAAGACUGCAGACGUGAGUUCAAAACUCAAAAGAGGAGAGAUGCAUCUAACAUGAAGCAACCAAAACAAGAAGAUGAAACCACUCUGCAUGAAUAGGAAACCAAAACAACUCUGGAUGAGAAUUUGCUGAUGUGGGAGUUGACAUGUAGUGCGCUGGGCAAAGAAAGAAGCCAAGGUGAGAAAAGCUGCUAGGAAGAUGAAAAUGGCUGC